ACGGCGGCUUUAUAGCACGCGGACGAAAAUAACGUAACUACGAUUUCUUGUCUGGAGGCAGGUUCGAGCGUCUCCAGAGGCCCGCCGGCCCAAGCGGCUCACCACCAUGACCGGACGAAACGUCUUCUCGCCACUCGGUCCCCUGAACCUGACGGUGGACUACCACGGGCCAUGGCCCGACGGGCAGCAUCCAGUCUUCGAGGCGGGUCCCCAGCACGAGCCUUCGUUGUCCGACGGUGGUCCGUCGGACAACUUCCAGGCGGCCUUGAACGUCCUGAGCUACCUGCACGCCUUCUUCAUCCCGUUCCUGAUCGUGCUUGGACUCAUCGGGAACGGCCUGUCCUUCGUCACCUUCCUCUUCACCAGGCUCAAGGUCCGGGCGUCCAGCUUCUACCUGGGAACCCUGGCGCUGUCCGACUUCGGGUACCUGUUCAUCCUGACCUUCGUCUGGCUGGACAAGCAGGGCGUCAAGGUGCUGAACCGGCGGGGCAUGUGCCAGGGCAUCCUGUACCUGUCGUCGGCGUUCAGCUUCUGGUCCGUCUGGCUCACGGUGACGUUCACAGCAGAGCGCUGCUUCGCCGUCCAGUGCCCGCUGUGGCGUCUUCAGCUGGGCACCCGCGGACGCGCUAGGGUCACGGUAGGGGUCACUGUGCUCGCUUCGCUCGUCUUCAACGCCUACCUCCUGGUGCUCACCGACGUCAUCGUCGAAGAGGGCGGUACUCCCGAAUGCGAGGCCCGGCCAGAGUUUGAACAGAUUCUGUACUACACCAACAUCAUGGACACGGUGGUAACGCUGAUCGUGCCCUUCAUCCUCAUCGUCAUCAUGAACUUCAUGAUCGGCCGGGCCCUGUACCUCUUCACGUCUAGGCGUCGGCUCCAACGGCUGAACAGUUCCCAGCUGGACACCACAGGGAUGGACGUCGACGGCAGAGCCACGAUGAGCGGCGGAUCCCCGAUCCCCAGCCCGCGUCACCAGCUCGCAUCCAGCAUGAAUGGCGCCCCGCCGCACCCCAGGGACCGCGUGCUGAUGCACCCGAGCCAGAUCAGCGUCUCCAAGAUGCUCUUCCUCGUCUGUACCGUCUUCAUCAUCCUCAACCUGCCCAGCUACGUGGUGCGCAUCCACGUCUUCGCGCUGUCCAUAAGCGACCAGCCCGUGCCGGGCCACGUGUUCCUGCUCCAGCGCUACUUCAUGCUGCUCUACUACACCAACUUUGCGGUCAACUUCAUCCUUUACAACGUGGGCAGUCGUAUCUUCAGGCGCAUGAUGAAGCAGUACCUCCUGUCCAAGUGGCGCACCAUCAGCAGGCUCUGCAGGAGCGACGAGUCCCUGGACUCGUCAGACCUGGGCUCGCUGAAGAACCACCACGAUGGUCAUCCGCUCAAGAGGCAGCAGCUGGGCGGAAGGACAUGAUUGUGGGGCAACGGUUGCGGGCCCGCCGGACGCCGUCGCGUCGCGCUUUCGGAACGCGGUCGGUGCCGCGUUCGGCGAGCGUUCUGGAACAAGAUUGCGUCCGGAUGAGAAGAAGCUGCCUGUUCACCAUCGGAGAGUUCAGCAGUGAGACGAUGACGCAAUGCCACAGUGACCGGCGUCAGUUCGCUGACUUCUCGGCAAGUACGGAGCUCUCGGCCUGGCAGUUCAGUCCCAGCCACGCCGUCACGUCGUCUUCCGAAUCUCCCAAGAUUUCUGUGCCCAUUCCACCCUCGCAAUGAACCUGUGGUGUUCGCUACAUGUGCAUACCUUUAUUUUUGCAUGGGUUUACAAGAAUUUUAUAAGUAUGACGUGUAACGAAAUAACAGGCGGGUUCAAGAUACGUACCUCUCUAAACGCGUAUGGUUUACUCUUUGUAGAACUGGUACAUGAUGUAUAUAUUCCUCUCACUCGUGUCCAUAUCAAUCUUCAUCUGGUUCAAUGAUCAUGCGGCAACUAGGUUUUCUGACAUCUUUGACACUCUUACACCAGAUAUGACGAGCUAUAAGAGAUGUCGCACGUUAUGUAUGUUCCCGUUCGAGAUAAUUGACCCCGUCUUUAUAUACUCAUUGACAAGACUAA